UACGAAGGGGGCGAGCGUUGUCCGGAUUUAUUGGGUUUAAAGGGUGCGUAGGCGGGUUAUUAAGUCAGUGGUGAAAGCCGGCAGCUCAACUGUCGAACUGCCAUUGAAACUGAUAGCCUAGAAUCUAGUAGAGGUAGGCGGAAUGUAUCAUGUAGCGGUGAAAUGCUUAGAUAUGAUACAGAACACCAAUUGCGAAAGCAGCUUACCAUGCUAGUAUUGACGCUGAGGCACGAAAGCGUGGGGAUCAAACAGG
rnacentral:rRNA from 1 species